AGGUGGGGAUCUGGUGGUUGACUGAUAUGGUUGAUGGGGACACACACUGAAAAGCAUCACAUGCUGUUGAACUGCCUGUUUAACCAGUGAUCUGACCAGGCCUGUAUUUUCUCUUCACCAAGAUCCUUUGUGAGGAGUUGUGGUGGCUGCUAUGAUUUUACCUGAUGCAGGCGAGGGUUAAAUCUUCCAAUACGAGACUCCCCAUAGCCCUGAUCAGGAGAGAUGUCGGUUUCUUAUGGCUGCUCUAACAGGUAACCACAGACUUGAUGGCGAAAAACAAUAGAAGUUUAUUCUGUUACAGCUCUGGAGGCCAGAAAUUCAAAACCCUUCAGAGGUAUCGCUGGAAAGACAUCCCGUAUUCUUGGAUUGGAAGACUUACAUUGUUAAGAUGACAAUACCACCUAGAGCCUCCUACAGAUCCAGUGCAAUCCCUAUCAGCAUCCCGAUGAGGUUGUUUUUAGAAAUAGAUAAAUAUAUCCUAAAAUUCAUAUGGGAUCUCAAAGGCCCCUGAAUAGUCAAAACAAUCUUGAAAACAAAGACAUAGUUGGAGGAUUCACAUUUCCUGAUUUAGCAACUCACCACUAUUUUGUUUGUACGGUUUGUUUUGAUAAAAUAAUCAACGCUGUGGCACUGGCAUAAGAUAUGGAACAAUGGAAUUGAAUCGUGAGCCAAGAAAUAACCUCACAUCUAUGGUCAAAUGAUUUUUUUUGACAAGGGUGACAAGAGCAUUUAAGGGGAAAAGAAUAGUGUUUUCAACAAAUGGUAUUGGGAAAACCAGCUGUCCACAUGCAAAAGAAUGAACUUGGAGUCUUACCUUAGACCAUAUAUAAAAACUAACUCAUAAUGGAUUAAAGAUCUAACUGUAAGAACUGAAACUAUAAAACUGCUAGAAGAAAACACAGAAAAGCUUCAUGACAUUGGAUCCAGCAAUUCUUGGAUAUGGCAGCAAAAGCACAGGCAACAAAAGGAAAAAAAAGACAAACGGCUUCACAAAAAUUAAAAAAGACUCUUUUGUGUUUCAAAGGACACCAUUAAGAGAGUAAAAAGGCAACCCGCAAAAUGGCAGAAAAUAUUUGCCAAUCAUAAAUCUGACAAAGGGUUAACAUCUAGAAUAUAUAAAAAAUUUCUACAACUCAAAAGUGACAAAAGAACCACAUUAAAAAAUGGGCAAACAACGUGCACAGACUUUAUCCUAGGAAGAUGCACAGAUGGCCAAUAAGCACAGGAAAAGAUGUUCAGCAUCACUAGUCAUUGGAGGAAUUCCAUUCAAAGGCAAAAUGAGAUACCACUUCACCCCCAUUAAGAGGGCGACCAUUAACAACAACAAAAACAAAAGAAAAACAAUGAAAAAACAAAUAUUGGCUAGAAUGUGGGGAAACUGGAACCCUUGUAUGUUGCUGGUGGGGAUGUCAAAUGGUAUAGCCCCUGUGGAUAGCAAUAUGGCAGCUCCUCAAAAAAUCAAACAUGAAUACGAAAUUAUUUAAUGGGUGAGGAGUUUCAGUUUAGUGGUGUUGAAUUAUCCUGGAGAUGGGUGGUGGUGAUGGUUGCAUAACCAUAUAAAUGUACUUAAUGCCAUUGAAUUAUACACUUAAAAAUGGUUAAAAUAAUAAGAUUUGUGUUAUGUGUUUUUACUACAAUUAAAAAAAAAUGGUGCUUAAA